UAACCUACGGGGGGCAGCAGUGAGGAAUAUUGGUCAAUGGGCGGAAGCCUGAACCAGCCAAGUCGCGUGAGGGAAUAAGGCCCUACGGGUCGUAAACCUCUUUUGCCGGGGAGCAAGGGCCGGGACGAGUCCCGGUCCGGAGAGUACCCGGAGAAAAAGCAUCGGCUAACUCCGUGCCAGCAGCCGCGGUAAUACGGAGGAUGCGAGCGUUAUCCGGAUUUAUUGGGUUUAAAGGGUGCGUAGGCGGGCUUUUAAGUCAGCGGUAAACUUGCGGUGCUCAACGCCGUAGAGCCGUUGAAACUGGG
rnacentral:rRNA from 1 species